ACUCAAAGGAAUUGACGGGGGCCCGCACAAGCGGCGGAGCAUGUUGCUUAAUUCGAUGCAACGCGAAAAACCUCACCUGGGUUGAACUAUGCAGGAAAAGCCACAGAGAUGUGGUGUCCUUCGGGGUCUGCGAUAGGUGGUGCAUGGCUGUCGUCAGCUCGUGUCGUGAGAUGUUGGGUUAAGUCCCGCAACGAGCGCAACCCUUAUCCUGUGUUGCCAGCGCGUAAUGGCGGGGACUCGCAGGAGACUGCCGGGGUCAACUCGGAGGAAGGUGGGGACGACGUCAAGUCAUCAUGCCCCUUACGUCCAGGGCUGCAAACAUGCUACAAUGGCCGGUACAAUGGGCUGCGAACUCGCGAGGGUAAGCGAAUCCCUUAAAGCCGGUCUCAGUUCGGAUCGGAGUCUGCAACUCGACUCCGUGAAGCUGGAGUCGCUAGUAAUCCCGGAUCAGCAUUGCCGGGGUGAAUACGUUCCCGGGCCUUGCACACACCGCCCGU
rnacentral:rRNA from 1 species